AACAUACUGGGGCACUGCCAGGUCACUACGUUUACAAAGUCCUUAUUCAGGGGUGCAAGUAACACUCAACACUUAUUGGUACGGGGGCGGGCUCCUCCACCCAGCCCAUCUGCGCUACCUGGCCCGCGCCGCCUGGGGCUCCAGUGGCGAUUUAAAGCACUUUAAGCAGGGUCCUUUGGCAGGGACCUAGGGAUCUAGCAGGGCCGCCAACAGGGGGUGCAAAAGGGGCAGCUACUGGUGGCCCCUUUUUACCGGUACGCCGUCGGGGCCUGUACUGGGUUACUUUCACCCCCUAAUCUUAUUACAGCGUGGGUUACAUUUUCUCUCCUCCUCGCUGACUUUCCAUCACUCUCCCAGGCCAUGACCUCCCCUCCCUGGCUCGGAGUAUUGUUCCCCUGCGCUCUGACUCACAGGGCUUGGCACAGCAGAUGUGUGCUUGGCCUGCCCCCUCUUCUCUUAGUACCUGUGGGGGGAGGCAGAUUGUAUCACCAGAAUCACGCUGUCUCCUCCAGGCACUGCCCCACACUCUGCCCCAACACCUGUACGACUGCUGGGGACUGACCUCACAGCCCAUUACCCCCCAUCACCCCGAGCUAGAUACCGACAGGCCCCUGUGCCCCACACGUACACACACCGCACCUAGCUCUGGCUCCUGUUUUUGACGCUGCCCUAAACCGUCUCCUCCCGCAGCGGCGGGCUGGCCGAGCCGGGGCGGGGCAGCCCAGCCCCUUCCUGCGCCGCACGAGGCCGAGCCGGGGGCUAGCGGGCUCAGACCGAGCCGAGAGCGGAGCCAGCCACGCCGCACGCCGGUCCUGGGAACGGAGCAGGCGGGGCAGCGGCUGCAGCCGGGGCCUUUGUGGAGCUGGACCGACCGGGACCGGGGCACCCGGAAGCGCCUGCACAGCGCCGGGCGGGCAGCUGCAGCGAGCGGGGCGCCGGGGGCACCCCGAGCCGGCGGCGAGGGGUGGCAGGGAGCGGGGCCGUGCUCCCAGCGCGGGAGGAAAGUGAAAGUCAAGCAAUGUCUACCAAUUUAAAAUACCUUUCCUUGGGGAUCCUGGUCUUUCAGACCACUAGUUUAGUUUUGACUAUGCGAUAUUCUCGGACAUUGAAAGAGGAAGGACCUCGUUACUUAUCCUCUACUGCAGUAGUUGUUGCUGAAUUUUUGAAGAUUAUGGCCUGCAUUUUAUUGGUCUACAAAGAUAGCAAGUGCAAUUUACGGGCUCUGAACAGAGUGCUACAUGAUGAAAUUAUUAACAAGCCUAUGGAAACACUUAAACUUGCUAUUCCAUCAGGGAUUUAUACUCUCCAGAAUAACUUGCUGUAUGUAGCACUGUCAAAUCUAGAUGCAGCCACUUAUCAGGUCACAUAUCAAUUAAAAAUUCUUACUACAGCAUUAUUUUCUGUGUCCAUGCUAAGUAAGAAAUUAGGUGUAUACCAGUGGUUAUCGUUAGUGAUUUUGAUGACGGGAGUUGCAUUUGUACAGUGGCCCUCAGAUUCUCAAUCAACAACUAAAGAGUUGUCAGCAGGAUCUCAAUUUGUUGGUCUUAUAGCAGUCCUUAUAGCCUGCUUUUCAAGUGGAUUUGCUGGGGUUUAUUUUGAGAAAAUUUUAAAAGAAACCAAACAGUCUGUCUGGAUCAGAAACAUCCAACUUGGAUUUUUUGGUAGCAUAUUUGGAUUGAUGGGUGUGUACAUAUAUGACGGAGAACUUCUGUCAAAGAAUGGAUUUUUUCAAGGAUAUAACAAACUUACCUGGAUAGUUGUAGUUCUACAGGCACUGGGGGGCCUUGUGAUUGCUGCUGUUAUAAAAUAUGCAGACAAUAUUUUAAAAGGAUUUGCAACAUCUUUGUCAAUUAUAUUGUCAACUUUGAUCUCCUAUUUCUGGCUGCAAGAUUUUGUCCCAACCAGUGUCUUUUUCUUUGGAGCCAUUCUUGUGAUAGCAGCUACAUUCCUAUAUGGUUAUGAUCCAAAACCUGCAGGAAAUCCUGUCAAGGCAUAGCAGAUUUCAUUAUCAGCCUGUUUCUCAAGACUCUGCAUUAGGGACCUCAACAAGAAUUCCAUAUGAAAGAUUUCAUCAUGCACUGGAAGGAAAGGAUCAAUACACUGAAUCUGAGCAAGAACAUGUUAAUGGUUUUGGAGAACCAAAGGGUUAAAGACAGAAAAUAAUGGAAAUAGAAUAGAGGACUCCCAAAAUGUAUGCAAGUGGUUGAACUAGAGAUACUAUCGGCUCUAAGAUCUAUGGAUAAUUGUUAUGCUCUCUGAUCUCCAGAUCAAGCAAUAUCAUACCUUCAAGACCUAUUUUAUAAGUUGUCAUAAAGUGAUUUACAAACUGGAUCACUUCACUCACCACAGAAAUGCACUGCUGAGGUAAAGUGUGGUAACUAACAGUGCACAGCAAUACUUACAUAGCAGUUUAGGACAGGAAGUGAAGGAUGCCUUGUCUUCUUGAAACUACAUAAAGAAUUUAUGUAGUUGGAAUACACUUACCUGAAUUGGAACUUUCCCAGGACCAUAAUAUCCUCAAUUUCAUGAGAUUUACAGCAGUGGUAAUUAGCAGGUGACUUCUAUUGGCUAAUCCAUUGAGAAACUCCUUUCAAUUUGAAGAAAAGCAAGGGAAAGUGUAUUGGGGGACGAAGUGGCGACAAAAGGCACUGUGUUGUCAGACAAUAGACAGUGAUUGGCAGGGUCUGCUAUAAGAAAUCCAGUCUUGCUCUUUCACCCAGGGCUGGACCAAUAUCACAACAAGCAUCAGUUUAAAGGGAAGAACAGACACAUAUGAUACUGUGAAUAAAAUAGGUCACUCCGGGCUUUGGAAAACAUCUCUCUGCUACAUUAAGGGGCAUAUCCCGUUCCUGAGAUACAUGGAACCAAUGUGGUUGCUGUGGAAAGGAAUAGGGCAGGAUUUGAAGAGGCUACACAGGUUGUCUGCAUCUUGUGUGUGAAGCAAUGCUGUGUGGAGGGCACAGUUACACUUUCUCACAGGAAUAGUUUCAGAGCCAGGUAGGAUGACAUGCAACUGUGGAUUGACUGGCCAUCCAUUCCUAUGGAGAAAGUACAGGAAUUGCAGAACCAUGGCCAUUGCAGAGCAUUCAGAAGCCUGAAAAGUAGCAGGGACAUGGUGUGCUUUACACAUAUCCCAAAGCUAAUUUUUAGCACACAGACUAGCUUUCCAGGUCUAAGAGACUUUCUGAGCCAUCUUUUCAUUCUUUAGAAUACUCGAUUAAUUAAUUUAGUUUGUAUAUUUAGGUAGCUUAGUACUAAGCUUUUAUUUUAAUAUUUAUAAAGUUAUAGCGUGGUAUUUAUUUACAACAACAUGAACGUGUGAUUGUUUGUUUCUUGAAAGGCACACGUUAUGGAAUUACCAGUAUUUUAUUUAAUACUGUAUUUGGAAAUCACCUGAGGACCUAGAAUGUUCAGCAACAGUAAACUGUCAGGCCAGCUAGAACAAAAGAAAAGCAUCAUUGCUUGAAACUACUGAUAUAUGGAAUUAUCCUGCAAGUGAAAUAAACCAGCAACUCAGUGGUGGGAAAAUCAUGAGGUAAAAAAAAAAUUUUCUUCAGAAAUUGAUAUAAUCUAUCCACAAGUGCCCAUUAAAACUGUUGUAUCACAGAGAAUUCAAAUAAGUUUGCUUGUAGCUUUAUUAAACUUAUUUGUUUUUGACAAAGUACAACACAGUUGCUCUGUCACCAAGAAUUUUGAAACCUGUGGGUAGAUUGUUAGAUUGGUGGUCUAGUUCUUAAUUAUAUAAAAUAACUUGUUUCCUGUGACUUUUACCUUUCUCUUCAUGAGGUGGAUCUUGUGUUUUGGCAUUAUACUUACUUUUCAGUUACUUAGACCAGUGGUUCUCAACCAGGGGUACAUGUACACCUGGGGCUAUGCAGAGGCCUUCCAGAGGGUACAUCAACUCACCUAGGUAUUUGCCUAGUUUUACAACAGGCUACAUAAAAAGCACUGAUGAAGUCAGUACAAACUGAAAUUUCAUACAAUCACUUAUUUAAACUCCUCUGUAUACUAUACACUGAAAUAUAAGUACAAUAUUUAUAUUCCAUGAUAAAAAUGAGAAAGUAAGCAGUUUUUCAGUAAUAGUUUGCUGUGACAUGUUUGCAUUUUUACGUUUGAUUUUGUAAGCAGGUACUUUUCAAGUCAGGUAAAACGUGGGGUACACAAGGCAGACUCACUCCUGAAAGGGGUACGGUAGUCUGGAAAGGUUGAGAGCCACUGACUUAGACGUCCUUUCUUUGGUUUGGGGAACAUGUAAUUGUUUGGGGAUUCUUAACUUAUUUUCAUGACUAUAAUUUAGAAGAAUGUAAUUGGUUUGCUUUUUUUGUUCAACUGUUUUUCAAUUGAUAAAUCAAUCUUGGCAUUUGUUAUGCCACCGGUUCUCAAGCUUUAGCAAUCCGAGGACCCCCAUUUUGAUUUAAAUUUUGUCACGGACCUCUGGCUUGGCUUCUAAUUUUCCCUGGGGGUGCUUAACCCCUGCUCAGCCCCCCACCAUUGUACCUCUUCUGCCAUAGCCCCAGCCCCCCCACCUCUUCUCGCCCCCGCUCCUCCCCCUCCCGCCCAGCGCCUCCUGCAUGCCACAGAACAGCAGGAGGGAGGGGGUGCUGGCAGGGAAGGGAGGAGUUGAUCAGCGGGACCAAUGACCCCAGACGUGACUCACGGACCCCCUGAAGUACCCUCAUGAACCCAGUUUGAGAACUACUGUUAUGCUAUUCCUGUAUUGCUUAUUUAUCAAGACUUUUAAUAUUAUUUCCUGAUCAGCUAUUCAUGUUCUACUCCCUUGUAGUAAGAUUUUCCCCUGAUUAGUCACUGUCUCCAACACUGAUCAUGAUUAAUUUUGCUUUUGUAUUACUGAUAUUAUUUCCAGGCUAACAUUAUUGAGAAAGGGGUUAUAAUAUUUCUUUUUCCUCCCCUCCUAAACUAGAUAUUUUCCUGUAAUAAUGGUAAAUAUAACAUUACAAAUCAAACUGCUUGUGUGACAGAAAAGUUAAAGUAAAAUAAGUGUCUUUGGCACUCAGUUAUUGAGUGAAGAUCCAAGGAGUGAUCCUAGACCUUUGUUUAACUGUCCUGCCCAUUUGUAAUGUUAAUUUUUUUCUAUAGUAAGUCAGUCCAGAACUAAGGAAUUCCACUCUUCCCAGGUGAACACAUUGUGUGUAUUCAUGCAUACGUUAGUGCCUGAGAAUCAAAAGACAUUAGUGGGAAAGAUAUAGGGAGAAAUAAAGCAAAAUACACGGGUUCAUACUGGAUGACCUAAAUGAUCUCUUCUGACCCUUCUCUUUUUCAGCCAAAUUCUUUCCUCCAGUGAAUUCACGGUUCCUACUAGAAUCAGCGAUAGCCACAAACCAAAUUCUGCUCUUGUGCAAUGCGACACCCAUUCCUCAAUGAGUGUUCCAGGUACGCGUCCAAGGGCAGAAUUUCUCCAUCAUUGUAUAUGAUGGUGAUAGUAUUUAAAGGAGAAGUUGCAAAAAGCUUAGGCCUUGUACUUGCCUGUCCCAUUCAAAUACUAACCUAUGUGUGAAAGGCUUUUCAGAGCUGAUUACUAUUCCAAAUGCCUGAGCCAGCCAGUCCUCCAAGAUGUGUAAUUCAAUGCAGUGGGAAUCCCAGCAGGUAACCAGGCAAAGUUCUCUCUCACUGUGACAUAUCAUGACCCAAAAGCUGGUUUUGAGCAUAGCCUAGAGAAUCCUACUACUGAUUCAGAAGCACCAUUUUUGGUUUGGCCAUUGAGGAAUCUGCCCUCUCCCCUAGGGCCCCUGCUCUUUGGAGAUAGCUAUAAUUGUGAAGGGAGAGUGAUAUGCCAGAGGCUAGAACCAGGGUUGCUCUGUGAAUCAUCUUGAAGGGAAUGUAGAUGUGACCAGCCAUCCCCAACCCCCUGGAGACUAAGUGCCACAACUUUACUUUCAUAAGGAGCUAGCAAGAGACCCCAGUUCACCUCUUGACUCAGGUAGCUGCUAGCACAACAUGAUCUUUGCUCCCAAGCUGCCAAACUGAUGCUAUUUUUAAAACAUUCCCAUACAGAUUAAUUUCAAAUAAAGCAGUUCAAGUGCAGCAUCUUAAGGAAAACUUUCAAAUAACAACAACAACAUAUAAUUACCACAUCCCUUUCAUCCUAAAAUGUGCAAGUAGAUUAUUGCAGCUUAGGUUAAACUCAAAAGUCCUCCAAGUGACAAAAACAAAGGGCUUUUCUCUUUUACACAUUAGACAACAGUGAAAACUGUUGUAUUUUUGCUCUUUCACUCCAUUCUUUCCCAUGCAUUCUGGUUAUUUUACCACUCUCUCCCACACCACCUCUUUAUUUCUUUUCCAGAUCAUUAAAGUCUUUACUGCAAGUUUCUAUGCUUAGAAAAAGCAUUUGUGGUGUGUGCUUAGGGGACUUGGAUGAGGCUGUUUGUACUGAGUGGAUGGUGGAAGACUGACAUGCACAUGAUAAAUAAGAAACUAAGGGACAGAUCCUUGAUCCAUGGAUGUAUAAGCAGGGUGAGAGAGGUGAAUUUACCUCUGUGUGCAGCAUUGAUGAGACCAGUAUGAGAAUACCGCAUCCAGUUCUGUGGUCCACAUUUUGAAAAGGAUGUUGAUAAAUGGAAAAAGUGCAGAAAACAGCCACAGAAAUUAUUCAAGAGCUGAAGAAAAUUCCUUACGGUGAGAAACUUAAAGAGCACAAUCUGUUUAGCUCACCAAAGAGAAAACUGAGAGGUGACUUGAUUACUGUUUAUCAGUGCCUUCACAGGGAGAAAAUACGGGGUACUAAAGGGCUCCUUAAACUGAUGGAGGAAGGCAUAACAAAAACCAAUGGCUGUAAGCUGAAGCCAGACCAAUUCAAAUCAUAUCAGGACUAGAGGCAUUUCUGGAAGACAUUCUUUAGUUGAACAUAAGUUAUCAGGCUCAGCACAGGGGUAACUAGGUGAAAUUCUACAGCCUGUGUUAUACAAGAGGUUAGAUUAGUUGAUCUAAUGCUUCCUUCUAGCCUUAAAAUCUCUUUAAAGUCUUGCUUUGCAGGUGUGAACAGUACUUAGCCCUGGUCUACACUAGGAGUUUAAGUCGAAUUUAGCAGUAUUAAAUCGAUGUAAACCUGCACGCGUCCACACGAUGAAGCCCUUUUUUCCGACUUAAAGGGCUCUUAAAAUCGAUUUC